UGACACUUUGUUUUUCCUUUUUACAUUUUCUGGCUAACAAACGCACCAUAACUUAUUGCAUUCCAUUUUGUUGACUUCUUUGUUAACUGCCUUUAACUUAUGUAUCUAUGUAAUAUGUAUGUGUAUGUCGAUUUAAUAACCUUUUGCUAUCUUUUGUAAUAGCCUAGCAAAAUGAAAUUAGUAAUUGAUCCUGACGUUGACGGUAUGGAGUAGGUUUAGGCUUAGUGUCAUUUUUACUCUUUUAUCCAUGAUUUCUUGUGUAAUAGCUGUUGCAGAUUGCAGCAAGACUAAGUGAAAGGUAGUUAGCAAUGGACCGGUUGAACUUGAUUCUGACGUUACAGAACCUCAAUUAGCUUGGCAAAAAUGAAAUUAGCAACAGGCCAAUUGAUAUUGAUGUCAAAGUUGCAGAUUGCAGCUGGACCAAGCAAAAGGAAACUAGCAAUGGAAUAAUUGAACUUGAGCCGGAAGUUACAGAACAUCCAUGUGGGUUGUUAUUGUUAUUGCUAUUUUUCAUUUCAUUUUUUCUUCUUUUGUAUGCCUUUGCAUAAUUUUGUAAUACGAUAUUUGAUCUUGAAUUGGCUUAUGGGUAUAUGUAUUUCCCUUGUAUCAAUCAAUAUAUAUGUGACACUUCUUUUUCAGUGUUUCUUUCCUUCUUAAAUCUUUUAACUUCUGUAUCUAUUUAACAUUUAUAUGUAUAUUUAUUUAAUAACCUUUUUCACUUUUUAGUAGCUUGGCAAAAUGAAAACAGACAAAUUGAUCUUGACUUCGAAGGUAUGGAGUAGGUUUAGGAUUUUCUUAAUUGCUGCAGCCAUUGAUUUGUUGAAAUUUUCAGUUUGUGAUCCUUGUUGGUCUGAAAGGCAGGAUAUAUGGAAUACAAGGAUAUGUGGAAUACUACUUCUGAGUAAGUUUUUUUCUGACUUAGUUUCUUAUCAAGUUAUUAUCAGUUUUUAAUGUAGAUGUUUUCUUGUAUAAUAUUUAUGCUUUUAAUUUUGUCCAAUCACAUAUGUUGUUUUCCUCUCUCUUCACCCUUAAUAAAGAAAAUGGUAAUCUUGUUUAUAUCACUUGGUUAGACUUUUUUUUUUUGUUGGUUGUAUAGCUUUGA